rnacentral:rRNA from 1 species
UACGUAGGGAGCAAGCGUUGUCCGGAUUUACUGGGUGUAAAGGGUGCGUAGGCGGCUCUGCAAGUCAGGCGUGAAAUAUAUGGGCUUAACCCAUAGACUGCGUUUGAAACUGUGGAGCUUGAGUGAAGUAGAGGUAGGCGGAAUUCCCGGUGUAGCGGUGAAAUGCGUAGAGAUCGGGAGGAACACCAGUGGCGAAGGCGGCUUACUGGGCUUUAACUGACGCUGAGGCACGAAAGCAUGGGUAGCAAACAGG